AGAAAUAUUAACAAAGGAAGGAGGAAUGGUACCAGUUAUUUGGUUACUUGUUACGUACAAAUGCUCAGCUUGUCAGACAGCCGAUAUUUCUGGGUAUUCGUCCUGUGAGAUUAUUGUAGGAAAGGUACAAAAAUCUUAGUUUCUUGAAUUGGCAUAAAGCUGGAUGGAUUUCACCAAUGAGUUGAUUGUAAGACAGAUCAACAUCUUCAAGAUUCAGUAAACGAUUCUCUACAUCGAGCUGGAAAGAACCAGAAAGGCCAUUGUUUUUGAGAUAUACAACACGUAGAGAAGAGAACUGAAAUGGCUGGAGGAAUGGACCCGAUAAGCUGGUGUUUGGAGAGGAUACAGUUUUAUGAUGUGACUAAAUUGCCAAUCUGUUUGGGAUGUUGCCAAUAAGGCUGUGUCCAUCCAAAGCAAGUCUUUCUAUUCUUGGACAGGUUUCCAAUGAGGAUGCAUAGUCCCUGUCAUGUUGUUACGGUAAGAUUUAAGAACUUGAGUUCCGGCAGAUUACCAUGGAUCUUUCCUAAGUCACCGCUAAACUUGUGGUUAGGCCAAAAAGAUUGUUUGAAGCUUGUGAUUAGAAAUAACUCAGUGGGAUAUCCCCUUCUAGCUGUUGUUGUGAACAUGAUUCUUCUCAAGCGAGCAUGAGACCCAUGCAACUGGAAGAUUACCCCCUGGGAACAAAUUGUUGCAAAGAUUUAGCAUGACAAGAAAGGAAUUAAAAUGGCAAUUGCUGGGGAGAUGGUUCCUUCAAGCUCAGGUCAGGAAAGAUUCAAGGUUGGACCCUUUGCCUCGGAGGCUACAAGUGACACCAAUCCAAUGCAAGAACGGGGGGGGAAACAUCGGUGGUUCCAGUUAUGAGCCAUGCAUUGCGGUAUUUGUUACACGAAUUCUGACAAGCAAGCAAAGCUAAAUGUCAGUCCCAUUUGUCGGGGAAGCAGAGAAAGAAAACCUUAGAGGAUUGAAAUAAAGCUCGGAACAAGCAAAAUAACGCAGUGUUCUCCAUUAAAAGACAAGAACAUAACAGGUAUCAGGAAAGAGAUUGACAGGUCAGAUGGCUCAGGAAAGGGAAGAAGGGGGUGGGUUUCUAAUGCAUAUAUUCAUUUACAAUACAUUCAUUCAAUCAAUGCUGUGAAGCUGUUUCUCAUUACUCGGAAUCAAAUGAACGGAAACAUAAUAUUAUUUUCUACCCUCUCUUGCGGGAGGCAGGGAGGAGGAAAAAGCAGGGGUGGGGGCAAAGGGGGAGGAAAAGAGAAAAGGGGGGGACGGGGGGGACGGUGGGGCGGGACGGGAGGAAAAAGGAAAAAAAGGAAAAAAAAACGAACGCGAAGGAAGGGGUGGACGGAGGGGAGGGGGCCUCCGGUUUGAUUAAAAAAAAAAAAGCUGAAAAACUAAACGGCUUAAAAAGUCUACUUUUGAUCUCACAAGCCACAAAAUCUAUUAACGAGCCAGGAAAAUUCUAUGCUUACAAACCAAUUCAAACUUUCACCUAACCCACCUCUUGCGCUUGCUCUCUUCCUCCCUCUUCUUCCAGCAAAUCGUCCCCUUUAUUUCCUCCCAUUGCGCUCUCUCUCUCUCCUUCUCCACUUUUUUCCGCUCAUCUCUUUUCAGCACAUUCUGGUGUCCCCGUCAUUUUUUUUCUUUUCUGAAAAUCUUCAAAGUAAUAAAAUAAUGUAAGGGCAUUUAUGGUUCUUUUGCGCACUGCACAAGCGAUGGUUUAUGGGGCUCACUAACACAAAAUUAAUGAAAACCAACUAGCUAACCCCAGUUUAUCAUAAAUUCAUGGCCUCCCAUAAAGGAGGCUAGGGUUCGACUCUUGCCAAGUUGCAAAAGUUGUCCAAGCUUUGGCUGGAUAAUUACUAGAUUUAUUGGGAGGGAGACUACACAAACCCCAAGAGUAGUCGAUGUGUGCGCAAGUUUACUCGAAAAAGAAAAAAAAAGCAAAGUAAUGCAUACUGACUGACUCGAAAAAAAAAAAAGCAAAGUAAUGCAUAAAUGCUGACAUUUUUUUAUAUGGGUUAAUCAAUUUACCUCCUUCGGUUUCUUGAAAUGUAAAAUCCACCCCUCGUAUUUUGAAAAUUAUUUGUACUCACCUAGAGCCCCUCCUUCCCAAUGCUGCACCACCGUCCUCAAUAACAUGUUGAAGGCUUUUUCUUCAGUUUAGUAUUGUACAAGUUCAACUUCAUUAUGAUGCUUUACCCUUGCAUUGCAUCACUUAUAGAAAUAUAUGAUUAUCUAGUUGCUUAUCGAUCUUUUGUUAUUUACUACUUGGUGUGAAAAAUGAUGCUAUAGGCAAGGUGAAGAUUACUUGGAGACUCGGGGCCGUCGUUUGCCCGCCGUGACCGGUAACUUUAAUCGCCGUAAUUUUGCUUGCGUACUCCUCCUUUUCCCUCUUAUAAUAUAUCGUUGGAAAGCUCUCGACUAGACGAAUGACCUUGGAACGUGAAAAACGCUUCUUAAGUAUGGUUUUGGGCCCGUUUAGUAUUUUGGGCCUGUUUGGGAUUGUUUUCUAAGGUUUCGUUUAAUUUAUUCUGUAACCCGAUUUGUCCGGGCCCUUAGGGUUUUGUGAACCAUAUUUAUACUCUAGUUCUUUAGGGUUUCGUAGUUUUUGGAGAAUAAUAUAUUGGUGCGUUUUCCAAUCGUUCGGUAUUCUUGCGAGACAACGGAUCGUUGAUUGCCUCUUUAUAUGGUAUUCGAUUGAAUCAAUAGUUUAGGAAAGCUUGGUUUCUUCGGAUCAACGGAUAUUGAGUUCUUGUAAGGUCCGCUUUUGCAUCAGAAAAUGAAAAGUGAAUUGUAUUUGUUACAUAUCACACGGGAAUUUAUUUUAUGAUUCACACUUCACCUUCCGUAUGAAAGUCCUCCUUUAUCGCUGGUCACAAUCAUGUUUCUUUUUCGGUAUUUUCUUUAUUUUAGGAAUGGUUCCAAACUGUGAACCUUGUUUAUCAUGUUAAGUUUGCAGGACAAGUUCCAUGGCCAAUACAAAUAUUCGAUAUGUGGAUUACUUUCGGCGGAGCUUCGCUUAUUCGAAUCAAUCAAUAACCCCUAGCCAGUUUGCCAGGCUUGGUGCUCAAUACAAAGAAGGAAAUUACAUAGUUGAUCAUUUGGAAUUCAACACCGGUAGGUUCCUAGACCUUUUGAUUGGUGCGUUUAUAUCUUUUAUUACCAAAUGAUGAAACAAGCCUUUGUGGUUCAACUUUGCAAUCAAUUGGGGAGGGUGGCAUGAAGUCUUUUACACAAUUCCACAUUGUCAAGUCACUUCUUAUACUGUCUUUUAUAUUACUAGCAGUGUUUAUUCUUCUCCAUGAUUAUCCAUCAUCCAUGGAUAAUUAUCAAUAAUAGGAUGCAAUUGUCGGAGCAUAUUCUGAUGCCAGUUAUCUAUAGGCUAAGUGGAUCUCAUAAUUGAUAAAUUCAUACCGGAGCUUUAAAGAACUUACCAUGGCACUCCUGUUCACUUGUAGUCAUGAUCUAAAUAUUAUUGUCCUUGUAUGAAUUCCUAAGAAUAAACACAUGUUCAAAAUCAAAGAGUUCCCAGAAAUUUUUGAAGGCAAUUGUGGAGUUGGGGAUGGGGGGGAGAUGGUUUUUGGUGUACUGUAUUGUCUUACAAUCUCUUAACAACCUUUGAAGAUUAACAAUUUCAAAAAAAAAAAAUUGUUGUUGUUAUACCUGCGAUUUGCUAUUAAUUGGUUUUUAAAAUGAAUAAUUUAUUCAAUUACCAAAUAGAACAGGCUUUAGUAAAAUUACAUUUGAAGGCACUGUCUUAAAGAUUACUUCGCAUCAGUUGCAAUUACAUCCGUAGCAGUAUAUUCCACUGCUUCUGCUUCUUUUUUCUUUCUUUCUUUUUUUAGGUUGGGGUAAAAAAAUAGCCGCUGGUGAGAAAGAUUUACGUACUUACAAUGUUGAAAGAACAUAAAAUUAUUCUAUUGCCACUGCAAGCUAAUUCUAAAUAUACCUCGGUUCUCUUUGCCCUCAUUGUUGUGUUACUUAUUAAUUAUGAAGUGUGACAUGAGAUCGUGUUUUAUCAAUAUUUUUUUGGUUAUUAACAUUUAGAGUGGAGCUUGUUACACUUCUGCUUGAAUUUUUUUCGUUUUUAUCAAUGAUAGGUUUUUUACUAUCGGUAGUCAUAAAUGGCUUUAAGCUGAGUGCUAAUCAAAUAUGGCUUGCACUAGUGCCUUAGUGGACGACGGGAAUGCACAAUGCAGAAACAUAGCUGAUAACUUUUCAGUACUCAUUCAUCUCAAACGUAAUAAUGGUUGUAGAGAAGGAUUGAAAGUGGAUACUUGUGGCAAUUGUAAAGUUUAUUGCACUUCCUACAAUGUGGGUUUUUUAUUAAUACACAAUUUAAAGGAUCCUUGUGUAUUGGCAUUCUCUUGGCUGCAUUAAUAGAAGAUGUGCUGGAUACUAUUGUGUGUAAUGAGCGAAGGAAGGUCACAUAAUCGUAAGUUGCUUGGCAGUGUCUUGUUAUAUUACGUCACUUCAAGGAAGUUCAAAGUUUGACAAAUCACCAAUUCUGUGAUGUUCGUUAUGAGCUUUGAUAACUAGUCCACUUGCGAUAUAUAGAGUAUGAAUAUUAUCUUCUGAAUGUCCAGAGCUACAUGCGGUGACAAUGUGAUGUCUGAAAGGUUACCCUGGUCAACACCACAAUCUGACAUCGAUAAGCCAUCCUUAUCAACUCCUCAUUAUCCCAACCAAAAGUGAGGAGUUACCAAACAACAAUGUUGAUGAGUUUUUUUUUACUUGUUGAAUAUAAUGAGGUGGUGGCAUAAUCCUUCGAAACUGCUAUUUAUAUAAUAAGUGAUGACAUUAUCCCCUUGGAACUGCUAUUUUUAUAUUUCGUCUUUUUUUUUUACUUGUUAAAUAUAACGAGGUGGUGACAUAACCCCUUGUAAAUGCUCUUUUUUUUUUCCAUAUUCCUUUUAUUGGUUAUUACAUUAUGUUUUUCAUAUUUACAUGCAUAAAAUAUUAUGAAGUUUCAUAUUAAAGUGUAGAUGACUACCCAUCAU
rnacentral:lncRNA from 1 species